AGAGUUUGAUCAUGGCUCAGGAUGAACGCUAGCUACAGGCUUAACACAUGCAAGUCGAGGGGCAGCAUGAUCUGUGCUUGCACAGUUUGAUGGCGACCGGCGCACGGGUGAGUAACGCGUAUCCAACCUUCCCCUUAGUAGGGCAUAGCCCGGCGAAAGUCGGAUUAAUACCCUAUGUUGUCCUUUGCAGGCAUCUAAUGAGGACCAAAGAUUAAUCGCUAAGGGAUGGGGAUGCGUCUGAUUAGGUUGCAGGCGGGGUAACGGCCCACCUGGCCAUCGAUCAGUAGGGGUUCUGAGAGGAAGGUCCCCCACACUGGUACUGAGACACGGACCAGACUCCUACGGGAGGCAGCAGUGAGGAAUAUUGGUCAAUGGGCGAGAGCCUGAACCAGCCAAGUAGCGUGCAGGAUGACGGCCCUAUGGGUUGUAAACUGCUUUUAUACGGGGAUAAAGUGAGGGACGUGUCCCUUAUUGUAGGUACCGUAUGAAUAAGGACCGGCUAAUUCCGUGCCAGCAGCCGCGGUAAUACGGAAGGUCCGGGCGUUAUCCGGAUUUAUUGGGUUUAAAGGGAGCGCAGGCUGGAUUUUAAGCGUGUUGUGAAAUGUACCGGCUCAACCGGUGAUGUGCAGCGCGAACUGGAGUCCUUGAGUGAGUACGACGUCAGCGGAAUUCGUGGUGUAGCGGUGAAAUGCUUAGAUAUCACGAAGAACCCCGAUUGCGAAGGCAGCUGACGAGUCCUUAACUGACGCUAAAGCUCGAAAGUGCGGGUAUCGAACAGGAUUAGAUACCCUGGUAGUCCGCACGGUAAACGAUGGAUGCCCGCUGUUGGCGAUAUAUUGUCAGCGGCCAAGCGAAAGCGUUAAGCAUCCCACCUGGGGAGUACGCCGGCAACGGUGAAACUCAAAGGAAUUGACGGGGGCCCGCACAAGCGGAGGAACAUGUGGUUUAAUUCGAUGAUACGCGAGGAACCUUACCCGGGCUUGAACUGCCAGCGAACGAUUCAGAGAUGAUGAGGCCCUUCGGGGCGCUGGUGGAGGUGCUGCAUGGUUGUCGUCAGCUCGUGCCGUGAGGUGUCGGCUUAAGUGCCAUAACGAGCGCAACCCCUUUCUCCAGUUGCCAUCAGGUUAAGCUGGGCACUCUGGAGACACUGCCACCGUAAGGUGUGAGGAAGGUGGGGAUGACGUCAAAUCAGCACGGCCCUUACGUCCGGGGCUACACACGUGUUACAAUGGGUGGUACAGAGAGUCGGUCGCUGGCAAUAGCGAUCCAAUCCUAAAAGCCAUCCUCAGUUCGGAUUGGGGUCUGCAACCCGCCCACAUGAAGUUGGAGUUGCUAGUAAUCGCGGAUCAGAAUGCCGCGGUGAAUACGUUCCCGGGCCUUGUACACACCGCCCGUCACACCAUGGGAGUUGGGAGCACCCGAAGUCAGUGUGGUAACCGAGAGGGGCCAGCUGCCGAAGGUGAGACUGAUGACUGGGGUGAAGUCGUAACAAGGUAGCCGUA
rnacentral:rRNA from 1 species